GUGCUGGCUUCAGCAGCACAUAUACUAAAAUUGGAAGAUACAGAGAAGAUUAGCAUGGCCCCUGCACGAGGAUGAUACACAAAUUCGUGAAGCGUUCCAUACUUAA
rnacentral:snRNA from 1 species